rnacentral:rRNA from 1 species
CCUACGGGAGGCAGCAGUAGGGAAUAUUGGGCAAUGGAGGCAACUCUGACCCAGCCAUGCCGCGUGCAGGAUGAAGGCGUUAUGCGUUGUAAACUGCUUUUAUAUAGGAAGAAAGAGUUCUUGCGAGAACAGUUGACGGUACUAUAUGAAUAAGCACCGGCUAACUCCGUGCCAGCAGCCGCGGUAAUACGGAGGGUGCAAGCGUUGUCCGGAUUUAUUGGGUUUAAAGGGUGCGUAGGCGGUUUAUUAAGUCAGUGGUGAAAGACGGUCGCUCAACGAUUGCAGUGCCAUUGAUACUGGUAGACUUGAGUGAGAUUGAGGUAGCUGGAAUGGAUAGUGUAGCGGUGAAAUGCAUAGAUAUUAUCCAGAACACCAAUUGCGUAGGCAAGUUACUAAGUCUCAACUGACGCUGAGGCACGAAAGUGUGGGUAUCAAACAGGAUUAGAUACCCUGGUAGUCCACACUGUAAACGAUGAUAACUAACUGUUGGCUUUCGGGUCAGUGGUACAGAGAAAUCGUUAAGUUAUCCACCUGGGGAGUACGCCCGGCAACGGUGAAACGUCAAAGUAGAAGUUAGACGGCGUAGAGACGUUCGACCGAGGCGACGACGGAGGGGAGAGG